rnacentral:rRNA from 1 species
GCGGGAAUUCGAUUAGUUUGAUCCUGGCUCAGGAUGAACGCUAGCGGCAGGCCUAAUACAUGCAAGUCGAACGGUUGUUAGCAAUAGCAAUAGUGGCGCACGGGUGCGUAACACGUAACUAACCUACCUAUAACUGGGGGAUAGCCCGCCGAAAGGCGGAUUAAUACCGCAUAAGCUGUUUGCCUGGCAUCAGGUGAUUAGUAAAGAUUUAUUGGUUAUAGAUGGGGUUGCGGGUCAUUAGCUAGUUGGUUGGGUAACGGCUGACCAAGGCGACGAUGACUAGGGGAGCUGAGAGGCUGGUCCCCCACACGGGCACUGAGAUACGGGCCCGACUCCUACGGGAGGCAGCAGUAGGGAAUAUUGGGCAAUGGGCGAGAGCCUGACCCAGCCAUGCCGCGUGCAGGAAGAAGGCUUUCUGAGUCGUAAACUGCUUUUGACAGGGAAGAAUAAGCCUUACGUGUAGGGUGAUGACGGUACCUGCAGAAUAAGCACCGGCUAACUCCGUGCCAGCAGCCGCGGUAAUACGGAGGGUGCGAGCGUUGUCCGGAUUUAUUGGGUUUAAAGGGGUGCGUAGGCGGCCGUUUAAGUCUGGGGUGAAAGCCCGCUGCUCAACAGCGGAACUGCCCUG